AUCACCAAUGAAGCCUUAGUGGUGGCACUUGGGAACCCUUCCUCUCCAGAGUACCAGCUGCUGCGUGACAACAUCCGACAUCAGCUCCAGUCCCUGUAUCAUGAGGCCUUCUCCAGCUUUGAAGGCAUCGGCGUCCUGCAAUUCAGGCCCAACUCCGCAGCUGUGAAUGCCUCCCUUGUGUUUGGGGGCCACAUCCCGGGCCCCUCUGCCCGUGAAGUCCUCUGGACCCUGUACCACUCAGUGAAGGCCGCAGGGCAGAUGCUGGGGAACCUGUCCUUGGAUGAGAGCAGCCUCGCCUCAGAUGGUGAGUCUCUGCCCACCCCUCUUC
rnacentral:lncRNA from 1 species